rnacentral:rRNA from 1 species
GACGAACGCUGGCGGCGCGCUUAACACAUGCAAGUCGAACGGAAAGGCCUGCUUUCCCUUGUGGAUUGCGGGUACUCGAGUGGCGAACGGGUGAGUAACACGUGAGUGAUCUGCCCCCAACUUGGGUAUAAGCCUGGGAAACUGGGUCUAAUUCCCGAUAGGACUGCAGGGUGGUGCCUGUGGUGGAAAACGAUUUUCUAGUGGUUGGGGAUGAGCUCGCGGCCUAUCAGCUUGUUGGUGGGGUAAUGGCCUACCAAGGCGGCGACGGGUAGCCGGCCUGAGAGGGUGGACGGCCACAUUGGGACUGAGAUACGGCCCAGACUCCUACGGGAGGCAGCAGUGGGGAAUAUUGCACAAUGGGCUGAAGCCUGAUGCAGCGACGCCGCGUGGGGGAUGACGGCCUUCGGGUUGUAAACUCCUUUCGACCGCGAGGAAGCCACCUGGUUGGAAGGGUGGUGACGGUAGUGGUAGAAGAAGCACCGGCUAACUACGU